rnacentral:rRNA from 1 species
CCUCGGGCGGCUGCAGUGGGGAAUAUUGGACAAUGUGCGAAAGCCUGAUCCAGCCAUGCCGCGUGUGUGAAGAAGGCCUUCGGGUUGUAAAGCACUUUCAGUGGGGAAGAAAGCCUUGGGGCUAAUACCCUCGAGGAAGGACAUCACCCACAGAAGAAGCACCGGCUAACUCCGUGCCAGCAGCCGCGGUAAUACGGAGGGUGCGAGCGUUAAUCGGAAUUACUGGGCGUAAAGCGCGCGUAGGCGGUCUGAUAAGCCGGUUGUGAAAGCCCCGGGCUCAACCUGGGAACGGCAUCCGGAACUGUCAGGCUAGAGUGCAGGAGAGGAAGGUAGAAUUCCCGGUGUAGCGGUGAAAUGCGUAGAGAUCGGGAGGAAUACCAGUGGCGAAGGCGGCCUUCUGGACUGACACUGACGCUGAGGUGCGAAAGCGUGGGUAGCAAACAGGAUUAGAUACCCUGGUAGUC